UGUAGCGUGGCAUAGUGGUUUGUGAACUGGACUAUGACUCUGGAGACCAGGGUUCAAUUCCCCACUGAGCUAUGA